UGGGGAAUCUUGGACAAUGGGGGCAACCCUGAUCCAGCGACGCCGCGUGGGUGGUAAGGCCUUCGGGUUGUAAAGCCCUUUCACCGGGGAAGAUGAUGACAUUACCCGGAGAAGAAGCGCCGGCUAACUCCGUGCCAGCAGCCGCGGUAAGACGGAGGGGACUAGCGUUGUUCGGAAUUACUGGGCGUAAAGCGCGCGUAGGCGGACUAUUAAGUCAGGGGUGAAAUCCCGGGGCUCAACCCCGGAACUGCCUUUGAUACUGGUAGUCUUGAGUUCGAGAGAGGUGAGUGGAAUUCCGAGUGUAGAGGUGAAAUUCGUAGAUAUUCGGAGGAACACCAGUGGCGAAGGCGGCUCACUGGCUCGAUACUGACGCUGAGGUGCGAAAGUGUGGGGAGCAAACAGGAUUAGAUACCCGUGUAGUCC
rnacentral:rRNA from 1 species